AUGAAAACACAAGAUUUGAAUUGUUCUUUUAAAAUUCUAUUGGCAAUAUGUUAACCUGAAGUCCUCUUUGUUUUUCAGCUCUAUUUGUUUUCCAACGAAUGCUUUUCUUAUGAAAAAGAAAACUCUUGUCAUCUAUGACAGUAGAGAAGAGCCUUUGUGCAGCUAUUUUGACUAUCCACACAGUGAAAAGAUGACAUUUUUGUACUUUUGCAAAGGAAAUAAACCCCGGAGGGAGAAUCUGUGGUGAGGGUAAGUUGUUUUGGAGAUGUAAGUGGUGACUAUGUCAUUCAGCUUCAAAGGAACAUGUGUGUAUGAGCCUAAAAGGUUAACUGUGGAUGGAGGAUGCAAAGAAGUUGUGUGCUGAAGUCUACAGUGUCCAGACAGAAAUUGACAGAAAUACAGAAGAGGGAAGGUGAUUGAUGUGAAAAGCUGAGAGGAGCAGAGAAGAAAGCGAAGGAAAGCUUGCAGGAAUUGGUAAGAAGAUAGAAGUGGAUUCUAUAGAAAGAAAUGACGAGAUAAGCACUACAGAAGAAUAAGUUUGAAGAGAAAUUGAAAGAUUUGAAGAUAGAGUGAAACAGAAAUAAGAAUGCAAAAAAAUCAAUAAAAGGGGAAACAAGUGAAAAAUGCA
rnacentral:lncRNA from 1 species